ensembl:lncRNA
GCUCUCCAGAGCAGAUUCCCAGAGGAUGCUGCCAACUUGCUCCUGGGACGAAAGCAGGAAAAGAAACCAAACACGUUGAUGGCUUUGUAGCAUAUCCAACUACUCGAGAAAGAGGCUGAACAACAGUGAGUAAGCACUGGAGAUGUUGGUGCUGAAGUCCCAGAAGAGAACCAAAACCCCAAAAGUGCUCUCAUGCCAUGGGUUCAUCCUCCUCCUCUGCCCUGCACAGGGAGUGACUUCCAGUGGUUCAGAUGCUGCAGUUCAGCUGCAGAAGUAGUGGAGGAGCAGCACUAUGGUCGGUCCAGCAGCAUCCACACUAAUGGGGCCGCAGGUGGGAAUGAGAAUGGAAGAGAAUUUAGAAUUAACUAGGUGUGAUUUGCCAGUCCCUGAUCAGCUGUGUUUCGGUUCCUUAUUUUUAUCUUGUGUAUAAAUGGAUUUUGUCCAGGAUAAAUGGGAUUUAACCACAAAAUUAGCCUUGUGAUGUACAUGAAAUUUUGAAGAGAGGACUCAAUGAUAGAUUUGAAAUUAAUUUUGCACAUGCUCUUAUAGUAGCACUGAGGAAAAAGCAUCUGAAGAGUUGAGAAAAUUGUUGUGGUGAAAUUCUGCAGGGAUGUGAGAGUACUGGUGGCAGCUGCUAGGUGCACUUUGCUGGCUGCCGGCCGUGGAGUUGGUGUACGAUCACAGCAGACCGCUCAGCGACCACUGUAGUCAGAACAAAACAAAACCAAUUAAGAACCAAUAUCUGAUGUGUUGAACCGGUUGGUGAAUGGCCCCACAGUUCUCAGCGUUCCUUGGUCAAGGUUGUGAAGGAUCUUAGAUUCCACCCAUAGCACACUUGAAAUGUAUGCUCCAUGACUGAUAACAACCUCCUUAGUAAUGUUCUUCCAUUGCAAUCAAAAGGCCAUUGUUAGAAAAACGACUGCUUCAAUGACCAUUUUAUUUCCCUGCAGGGCGGAGCUUGUCUAGGUGAUUUGGCUGACCUGGAAAGAAAUGCAUUUAAAUAAAUGCAUAGCACUUU